AUUGAACGCUGGCGGCAUGCCUUACACAUGCAAGUCGAACGGUAACAGGUUAAGCUGACGAGUGGCGAACGGGUGAGUAAUAUAUCGGAACGUGCCCAGUCGUGGGGGAUCACGUAGCGAAAGCUACGCUAAUACCGCAUACGAUCUACGGAUGAAAGCGGGGGAUCGCAAGACCUCGCUCGAUUGGAGCGGCCAAUAUCAGAUUAGGUUGUUGGUGAGGUAAAAGCUCAACAAGCCUGCGAUCUGUAGCUGGUCUGAGAGGACGACCAGCCACACUGGAACUGAGACACGGUCCAGACUCCUACGGGAGGCAGCAGUGGGGAAUUUUGGACAAUGGACGCAAGUCUGAUCCAGCAAUGCCGCGUGCAGGACGAAGGCCUUCGGGUUGUAAACUGCUUUUGUACGGAACGAAACGGUGAGCUCUAAUACAGUUUGCUAAUGACGGUACCGUAAGAAUAAACACCGGCUAACUACGUGCCAGCCGCCGCGGUAA
rnacentral:rRNA from 1 species